GAUGAACGCUGGCGGCGUGCCUAAUACAUGCAAGUCGAGCGAACAGACGAGGAGCUUGCUCCUCUGAUGUUAGCGGCGGACGGGUGAGUAACACGUGGAUAACCUACCUAUAAGACUGGGAUAACUUCGGGAAACCGGAGCUAAUACCGGAUAACAUGUUGAACCGCAUGGUUCAACAGUGAAAGACGGUCUUGCUGUCACUUAUAGAUGGAUCCGCGCCGCAUUAGCUAGUUGGUAAGGUAACGGCUUACCAAGGCAACGAUGCGUAGCCGACCUGAGAGGGUGAUCGGCCACACUGGAACUGAGACACGGUCCAGACUCCUACGGGAGGCAGCAGUAGGGAAUCUUCCGCGAUGGGCGAAAGCCUGACGGAGCAACGCCGCGUGAGUGAAGAAGGUCUUCGGAUCGUAAAACUCUGUUAUUAGGGAAGAACAAAUGUGUAAGUAACUAUGCACGUCUUGACGGUACCUAAUCAGAAAGCCACGGCUAACUACGUG
rnacentral:rRNA from 1 species